rnacentral:rRNA from 1 species
UACGGAGGGUGCAAGCGUUAUCCGGAUUCACUGGGUUUAAAGGGUGCGUAGGCGGGCAGGUAAGUCCGUGGUGAAAUCUCUGAGCUUAACUCAGAAACUGCCAUGGAUACUAUUUGUCUUGAAUGUUGUGGAGGUAAGCGGAAUAUGUCAUGUAGCGGUGAAAUGCUUAGAUAUGACAUAGAACACCAAUUGCGAAGGCAGCUUACUAAGCUAUGAUUGACGCUGAGGCACGAAAGCGUGGGGAUCAAACAGG